GAAGUCGGAGUUGCUAGUAAUCGCGGAUCAGAAUGCCGCGGUGAAUGCGUUCCCGGGUCUUGUACACACCGCCCGUCACACCAUGGAAGUUGGGGGCGCCCGAAGUUGGUCGAGGAAUAGAUUACCUAAGGCGAAACCAAUGACUGGGGUGAAGUCGUAACAAGGUACC
rnacentral:rRNA from 1 species